AACAACUGUCACCCGGGUGCGUUUGUCACCUGGAGUGUUCCUGGAGUGUCCCUGGAGUGUCCCCGGAGUGUCCCCAGCGCCAAUGGAGACCUGCAAGGUGGACCCGUUCCCGCUGGAGGUUCUGGUGUCUGUGGUGGCCACCCUGGGCGAGGUGGCGGCCACUGUGACCGGGCCACACAGGGGAGUGUGGCGGUAUGUGCCCCCAGAGACCCUGCACGCGACCCUGAGGAACUUCACCUGGAGCCUCCGUAAGACCCUGGAACACCCCGGUGUCACCUCCUUGAGCCGGGCUCUGGCCGCCCUUGGGGCUACGCCAGGAGUCACCUGGGCUGAUGUGAGAGCCCUGGCCAGUGCCUGGCGGGAGUUGGUGGCUGCACUCAAUGGCACCUGGGCUCAGCUGGCCUGGGAUGCUGCUGAGCUCUAUGACGCCUGCUGGAACACGGCCAUUGCCACCACUCGGGCCAGAGACCAGCAGGCCAAGGGCACCCGCAGGGGGACAGCUGAGAGCAACCUGGUGGCCACGGCCCAGCAGCUGAUGGGGGCAUUGAAGAGUGAGAAAGCGGCCUUGGCAAUAACUGCGCACGAGGCCCAGGGGGCUGUGGCCACCAACAAGGCCAUGGGAGAGGCUGUGGUGGCCACCAGGCAGGUGAGGGCGGCCACCAGAAGGAGAGAUUGGGCAGAGGUGGCCCUGGAGCUGCUGCAGCUCUUGGUGGAAGCGUGUGACAGGGCCACACGCAUUUUUUUCCUCUGGGAGCUGCAGGAUCGGCUCUGGGACAUCAAAGUCAACCUAGAGGGGACAGAGGAGGCGCCCCUCGAUAUUCCUGAGGCCUUGGUGUCCAAAGUGUCCAAGUUUGAGCAGCUGUGGGAGGCCAGCAGCCGCCUGUUCAAGCGUCACCUGCUGGGGACACUUGGGGACAUCCACGACCUCCUCUUGAGUCCCUAUGGUGGCCGCGGUGGCCCUGAUGGCCCUGGCAGCCGUGCGGUGGCUGAGCGGUGCCAAAAAGCCAUCGAGGACAUCCCAAGGCUGCUUCAAGAGAGUGACGUCACCACCGCAAUGUCAUCACGGCAGUGACAUCACUGGGGACAUCACUGCUGUCACCUGUCCCCUCUGCCCUCCCAAUGUGGGAUUGGAGAUAAAUUUGAGGAAUUUUCUGGGAAUUUUCAUUGAUACUGCUCCAAAUCCUGAUGGGAUGUUCCUGGGGUGACAUCACUGGGGACACUCAGGGACACGUGGGGAGGACACACAGGGACACUCUGGGGACACUCAGGGACAGGGACAGGGGUGAAUGAGUCCCCUCAGCAGCUUCAAGCUUUCCACUGUGCCUGCAGCAGAGCUGGGUCAUAAACAACAAUUUAAUAAUUGGAUGCUGCAAUUCUGCAUUGGCUGCUGCAAUUCUGUAUUGGCUUUGGCAAAAAAAUACCGCCACAGUUAUUUUGUUCUGGUACUUGAUUAUUGAUUAUUGAUAAUUCCUUGUAGCUGCUUGCUGGUACGAUAUAAUUGAUCAGUUUAUGUAAGCACCGUGUAACCGAUUUAAUGCUGGAGUGAUAAAUCAGUAUAUCAUAAGCAUUAAAAUAUUAAAAUAGAUAAAUAUUAAAGAGAUAAAUAGUAAAUAUUAAAAUAGGGACUAUGCAAUGUUAAAAUGCUUUUGUGUAACUGACUCAGGUGUAAAACAAUUCCCUUGUUUCUCACACCUAGGUUCGGCCUCUCCAGGUGAUGACAACAGUGACACAAACCUGAGAAGAAUUUAUUAAUUGAUCAGGUGUUGUUAAACAACAUGAUGGAAUCAGGAGAAGAAAUCAAAUAUAUUGACCUAAUCUACAGAAUGUCCUGCAGACAAGUCAGAGGUUAAAACCGAACAAGAGUUCCUGGAACAUCCAAACCUCCCAGGAAUGUUUGAAUAAUGUCUAAACUCAGGAAUGUGUUUGUAGCCCUGCAGUGGAAUUGGAUCUGGAGAAUGAUGGGUUAAGUUAAGGGCAAAUUCUUUGACCAAGCACCAAAAGCCUUUUUUAUUCCUUAUAUAAACUUUUACAACUUUAAAAGAGUGAACUUUGUUCUUCACACACGGCUGUGA
ensembl:lncRNA